rnacentral:rRNA from 1 species
CCUACGGGUGACAGCAGUGAGGAAUAUUGGUCAAUGGGCGAGAGCCUGAACCAGCCAAGUCGCGUGAGGGAGUACUGCCCUACGGGUUGUAAACCUCUUUUGUCGGGGAGCAAAAGCCGGACGUGUCCGGCCGUGAGAGUACCCGAAGAAAAAGCAUCGGCUAACCCCGUGCCAGGAGCCGCGGUAAUACGGGGGAUGCGAGCUGUAUCCGGAUUUAUUGGGUUAAAGGGGUGCGGAGGCGGAUUUUUAAGUCAGCGGUAAAGUCGUGGGGGUAAACCCAAUCCAGCCGUUGAAACUGGGGGUCUAGAGUAUGCGAGAGGUAUGCGGAAUGCGUGGUGUAGCGGUGAAAUGCAUAGAUAUCACGAAGAACCCCGAUUGCGAAGGCAGCAUAC